CGACAAUCUUUCCUCUUAACACUGCUUCAGCUGCAUCCCAAAGACUCUGGUGAUGCUGAUGCUACUGGGGCUAGGACCACACUUUGAGGAUCACUACCCUAGGAAGCUUUUGUUUUCACAGAGUGGUGUACCUUCCAGGUACCUAAAGGAUCCUGGGAGCACAGAGCCAAUUUUUCCAAGCCCAUCGACAGAUCUACCCUGCCUCCUAUACCAAGACAGGGUAUUCCCAGAAGUACAAUCCCUAAGGACAAAUAUCCUGACCUCUCCGCAAAGUCAUUCCUCUCAGAACUAAAAGAGGUUACUCACAUUCUCAGGUGAAUAUUUUCAAUGCCUUAGGAAACAAGCAUGUGCUGUUGCUAUUCUUUUGAAUGUCCUGUGUAUGAUUAUGUUGGUCUUUUUUUUUCAUCCACUCUCUUAUUUUUAAGGCCAAAUACGAGAAAAAAAUUGGGGCUAGAAUAAGGACAAUGAAAAACUUGGGCCCUGUCUCUAGUUCCAACACUACUUGCUCUGUAACCUUAGGCAUCCAAUCUCUCUCACUUUUACACUCGUCAUUCAUAAAAUAAAAUGCCCAGUGAAAACUGACUGCAGAGUUCUAUGCCACAGAUUCUGAUGCUCAGUUCAGAAGUUUACAUAAUUCCAAAACAAAUACAUCAGAAGACCAUUGUCAAACCAGUAGUUUCACUUAAAAGUUAU
rnacentral:lncRNA from 10 species